CCCUCUCAACGACAGGAAGUGGCACACAUGGCAGCGACAUGGCCCUGCAUAUCAAUUGAAGGCACCUGGUUGGUAUCACUGAGAACGAAGGGAGCCAGCAGGCAUAAAAAAAUCAAGAGGGCUACAUACAUAAAUGUGUGAGGCAGUGAGGGCAGCAGAUGAAUAUAGCAAGAAGUGGGAACAUCUCAUGUGAUACAUAGCGGUCAAAUGUUCCGCCACCAAAGUCAUGCACAAGUUACUUGUAGUCUUUCCAGUAAUUUCCAAAAUAA